CAACACAGACAGAACACCAGAGCGGCUUAAAGGCAGGUUAGAGCCCGAAGCUCAGCCGGCUGGGCGCUGAGGACACCUGCUUCUCCGCUCCUACUUUCCUCUUCCCAAUCCAGGCCCUGCGGCCCCCCAGUAGCCCCCACCCCUCUCCUGAACCAAGGGAAAGAUACUCCCCUCUUUCCCCUUCUCAAGAGCCACCCAGGCAGAGGGGAAGGGUGGAGGGCCAUGGGCCCAGCUCAUGGGCAGCCUGAGACUCCCGAGCACUGUGACCACACCUGACAGCAUUUAUGAUGCGGACACCGAAGCCAGAGAGCAGCACUGCUGACUGUGCGACUGUAAGCAGGUCACACCCCUCGUCUACGUGCAAACUGGACAUGGUACAGAUCCCUUUCCACAGAAGGGGGCAGCUGUGAAGGUUGAGUACCCCUUGCAGGUGUGAAAUCACGUCAGCUACUUUCAGAACAUAAAAAUCCCUGGGACAAGCUGUGGUUGGCUCGUAAAACUACUGGUCUAUUCCUCUGGAAAGUUCCCUCUCCGUCACCAUGUGCACGGAGGCCAAGAUCACGGGGUCAGAAGCCAGGUCUCCAUGACCUUCAGGAUCUUAAACUGUUUGCUCUUCCAGGCCUCACGACAGGGCAGGCAGGAAGCACUAGGUUCCCCGUCUCUGCAAGGAAUGAGCGCCUCUGUCCGCUCCACUCCUAACCUGCAGCGGCCCAGGCCAACUGGACACAGGGUCCAGUCCUCCUGCCAAUGCCGUGAAAGCAUCCACGUUCCCUAGCCCGGGAAGACCCUUGGGCCAAGACCUGGGAACAGGUGCUGUGCACAACAACGGAACUCAGAGAUGGGCCCCACACCCAUUCUUCCAGGACAGUCGCGAUACGUCACCCAGAAGCCGAAAGCACGGGCAACAGACGAACAGUCCCUCAAACACCGCAAUCGUCACCAAAAAAAAAAAAAAAAUCACCUGCAUGUGUGUCACAUUUCAAUUUAAAAAAAUGUAGGGAU